UUUGAGUGAGUGGCGAACUGGUGAGUAACACGUGGGAAACCUGCCCAGAAGCGGGGGAUAACACCUGGAAACAGAUGCUAAUACCGCAUAACAACUUGGACCGCAUGGUCCGAGYUUGAAAGAUGGCUUCGGCUAUCACUUUUGGAUGGUCCCGCGGCGUAUUAGCUAGAUGGUGRGGUAACGGCUCACCAUGGCAAUGAUACGUAGCCSACCUGAGAGGGUAAUCGGCCACAUUGGGACUGAGACACGGCCCAAACUCCUACGGGAGGCAGCAGUAGGGAAUCUUCCACAAUGGACGAAAGUCUGAUGGAGCAACGCCGCGUGAGUGAAGAAGGGUUUCGGCUCGUAAAACUCUGUUGUUAAAGAAGAACAUAUCUGAGAGUAACUGUUCAGGUAUUGACGGUAUUUAACCAGAAAGCCACGGCUAACUACGUGCCAGCAGCCGCGGUAAUACGUAGGUGGCAAGCGUUGUCCGGAUUUAUUGGGCGUAAAGCGAGCGCAGGCGGUUUUUUAAGUCUGAUGUGAAAGCCUUCGGCUCAACCGAAGAAGUGCAUCGGAAACUGGGAAACUUGAGUGCAGAAGAGGACAGUGGAACUCCAUGUGUAGCGGUGAAAUGCGUAGAUAUAUGGAAGAACACCAGUGGCGAAGGCGGCUGUCUGGUCUGUAACUGACGCUGAGGCUCGAAAGUAUGGGUAGCAAACAGGAUUAGAUACCCUGGUAGUCCAUACCGUAAACGAUGAAUGCUAAGUGUUGGAGGGUUUCCGCCCUUCAGUGCUGCAGCUAACGCAUUAAGCAUUCCGCCUGGGGAGUACGGCCGCAAGGCUGAAACUCAAAGGAAUUGACGGGGGCCCGCACAAGCGGUGGAGCAUGUGGUUUAAUUCGAAGCUACGCGAAGAACCUUACCAGGUCUUGACAUACUAUGCAAAUCUAAGAGAUUAGACGUUCCCUUCGGGGACAUGGAUACAGGUGGUGCAUGGUUGUCGUCAGCUCGUGUCGUGAG
rnacentral:rRNA from 1 species